rnacentral:rRNA from 1 species
UACGUAGGUGACCAGCGUUGUCCGGAUUUACUGGGCGUAAAGAGCGCGCAGGCGGUCGUUCAAGUCGAGUGUGAAAGCCCCCGGCUCAACUGGGGAGGGUCAUUCGAUACUGAUCGACUCGAAGGCAGGAGAGGGAAGUGGAAUUCCCGGUGUAGUGGUGAAAUGCGUAGAUAUCGGGAGGAACACCAGUGGCGAAGGCGACUUCCUGGCCUGUUCUUGACGCUGAGGCGCGAAAGCUAGGGGAGCAAACGGG